rnacentral:rRNA from 1 species
AGUGAACGCUGGCGGUAGGCCUAACACAUGCAAGUCGAACGGCAGCACAGUAAGAGCUUGCUCUUACGGGUGGCGAGUGGCGGACGGGUGAGGAAUACAUCGGAAUCUACUUUUUCGUGGGGGAGAACGUAGGGAAACUUACGCUAAUACCGCAUACGACCUACGGGUGAAAGCAGGGGAUCUUCGGACCUUGCGCGAUUGAAUGAGGCGAUGUCGGAUUAGCUAGUUGGCGGGGUAAAGGCCCACCAAGGCGACGAUCUGUAGCUGGUCUGAGAGGAUGAUCAGCCACACUGGAACUGAGACACGGUCCAGACUCCUACGGGAGGCAGCAGUGGGGAAUAUUGGACAAUGGGCGCAAGCCUGAUCCAGCCAUGCCGCGUGGGUGAAGAAGGCCUUCGGGUUGUAAAGCCCUUUUGUUGGGAAAGAAAAGCAGCAAGUUAAUACCCCGCUGUUCUGACGGUACCAAAAGAAUAAGCACCGGCUAACUUCGUG